CCAAUAUUAGCAGGGAAUUUGGAAUCUCUACAGUUCAGGGGACUGACUAGCCACAGUUUCAUUAGCCUUGCUGCAACCUCUGGGCAGAAAUAUCUCAUUCCCUGAGAAAAGCACUCCUGGACAUUUUGAAGACAUGACUACUGAUGCAUCAGGGGGAAAAAAAAUCAGUAAGGCUGUCCACCCAGCCCCUGGUACUGUCAUUCACUGACACUCCCACUUCAAGCCAGCAUGCUCCUGACUGCAGAUCACCCUCUCCAUCCAACAUUACCCACCCAUGCUUUAUCAAUAUAUUGGCAUUAGAAGCAAUCCAGAGAAGAUUCACUCGGCGGAUACCAGAUACGAUGUGCCUGGACCUCUGACUGAUGCCAAGACAUGCCGCCCACCCCCCCCGCAACGACAGCACGAUCCCCCAAAACAGCCCUUGUGGUGCCAAUGGACUGCGCACGACCGCCUCCAUGGCCCCGUUGAACCACGGCCCUGGCGGCGGGUGGCUGUCUUUCUUUCGUCCCUUUUCUGUUUCUUUCCCCGCAGCAAUGCUAUUGCAGCCCCCCACCCCUUUCUUAACUACCUACCAAAAGAACCGGGUUGCAAGCGGGAACAAUAUGGCGGGAGCUGAAUGCACGGGUUGUGUCCUGCAGUGAAAGCGGAUCGAAUGUGGACCAGAGUGACGGUGGUGGAUCAAGAGUUGGCCAGCGAGAGCGGCCGGUGAGGCAGCGGCAGUGACAGCAAGCCGCUGAGGCAGCCGAGACUGGGACGCUGGCGGUGGCAUAGCAUAGGCUGGAAAGCCUGGAGCAGGACUCUGGUGGAGCUAUGCCAAUGGCUGGAAGGCGGCAGCGGAAAGGAAAGUUGGACUCAAGUUUUUUACUUAGUCUAAGACUAAGUUAAUGUGAAUGAUGCCAUGUAUGUAUGGCUAAGGUACACAUUUUUCACUUUUUUGUUGAAUACAUGUGCUAAUAAAUAACUCCAUUCAA